UACGUAGGGUGCAAGCGUUGUCCGGAAUUAUUGGGCGUAAAGAGCUCGUAGGCGGUUCGUCGCGUCGGCUGUGAAAACCUGGGGCUCAACCCUGGGCUUGCAGCUGAUACGGGCAGACUGGAGUUCGGCAGGGGAGACUGGAAUUCCUGGUGUAGCGGUGAAAUGCGCAGAUAUCAGGAGGAACACCGGUGGCGAAGGCGGGUCUCUGGGCCGAUACUGACGCUGAGGAGCGAAAGCGUGGGGAGCGAACAGG
rnacentral:rRNA from 1 species